GACGAACGCUGGCGGCGUGCUUAACACAUGCAAGUCGAACGGAAAGGCCUGCUUUCCCUUGUGGUCUGCGGGUAAACGAGUGGCGAACGGGUGGGUAAUCUGUGCUUCACUUGCCGCUAACCUGGGUAAACGGCGGGGAAACCGGGUCAAAUUCCAGAUAGGAUUGGAGGGUGGUGCAUGUGGUGGAAUAUGAGUUUAUCGCGGUGGGGGUUGGGCUUGCGGUCUAUUAGUUUGUUGGCGGGGUGGUGACCUGGAACGGCGGCGACGGGUAGCCGGCCCGGGAGGGUGGACGGACACAGUGGAACUGAGAAUCGGGCCAGAGUCCUACCGGAGGCAGCAGUGGGGGGUAGUGCACGAGGGGCGGAAGCCUGAUGCAGCGACGCCGUGUGGGGGAUGACGGCGUUCGGGUUGUGAACUCCUGUCGAACGCGAGUAACCCACCGGGUUAGGAGUGUUGUGACGGUAGUUAUAGAAGAAGCACCGGCUAACUACGUG
rnacentral:rRNA from 1 species